rfam:Syphacia muris strain Valencia genome assembly, scaffold: SMTV_scaffold0001229
GGUCUUGUGGUGUAGUGGUGAUCACUUCUGCUUAACACGCAGAAGGUCGCCGGUUCGAUCCCGGCCAAUACUU